rnacentral:rRNA from 1 species
UUGUACACACCGCCCGUCACACCAUGGGAGUAGGCAAUACCCGAAGCCUGUGAGCUAACCGCAAGAAGGAUUCGUCGAAGGUAGGGUCAAUGACUGGGGUGAAGUCGUAACAAGGUAGCCGUAUCGGAAGGUGCGGCUGGAUCACCUCCUUCUAA